AGAGCACUGUUGACAAUGUCUGCCUUCACUUGGAAUUCAGCACCUGCUUUCAGUAUAAACCCCUGCAUUUCACUAAAACUGAGCAGACUGCUGGUUUAAAAAAGAGAGGUCCAUCCAGCAGGGAUGAUGCUUUUCCUCGUUGAAAGAGGACAUUCACCUAAUGGGAGACCUGGAGUCAGAAUCUUUCUGAUGUGUGACUUGGCACAGUAACACAAUGCAGGAUGCUGGUGUGUUAAUAAAAAUAAAAAUUGCAUCGCCUACCUCAGAGUCGACAACAAUGUCAAGGAGUUAAUAGUCUUGGCAACACAGAGGCCACUGGACAGAGGCAUAACCUUGCGUGGCAGCUGCACGGGAAUUGGAUUUGGCUCAGGUGUUUCAGAUGACUAAGAACAAAGGGGACCACUCUUGGUAUAGAAGUUCAUCUCGUCGGGAGCAUCUGUGGUUCUUUUAUAAGCAAUGUACAUUCUACAAUAGAGGCAGACCCAGAAAUAAUUCAGAUAUUGGAGUUAGAAGAUCAGGAUUCUAAAAAAACCAAAAGAUCCUGCCUUACUAUGCACCUAUGGCCCUUCAAAGGCGAGAGUAGAAUCUGCUAUGAUUUAGAAGCAAGCAAUAAAAAGUACACAUCAGAAUUGGAGCCUGCACAGAUGUAGAAGGAGGCAUGAAGAGGGUAUUGGAGGAUUGCCCACUAUGCAGUCUGCAUCCUGAGUCUGUGGUGAGGCUGGACACGUUCAAGCUUACAGGAGAACUGGAGAAAGCAAGCAACACAGCGGUGGAAGUGAGACCACUGAAGCAGGGACAAGAGUGGAGGAGACAAACUGGACUCGGAACAAACUGGGAGCCUCUGCAUCCAUCCGUAACUGUCUGGCCGUGACAGUGGUUAGAGAGGAGUGGCUUCUGUGAAACUCUCACAAUCUCAAAUCUCCCACAAGUGCCUCUUUCAGCUAACUCUAAACUGGUACCAUAGAGGAAAUGGAUUCUGAAAACUUGGUCUCCAACCUUAGACAAAUUGAAUAAUUAAUAUGUCCUCUCCUGCUUCUUCUGUAACUGAAUUUGCAUUGGGAAGCAGGCCUGUCACUCUCAGACUUUGUGGUUUGAGUAGGGCUCACUUCAGCACCACCUUUUCCUCUUCUCAGCCCCACGGACUGGCAUGAGACUCAGGCCUGGCCAACUGAAUGUCACACACCUAUGACCAUCAGUUGGCUCAGAGAUGGACUCAGGACACCAUCACAGCCAAUGAAACCCUGUUAGGGAAAUUUGUCAGAACCAUACAAAGAAAUAGCUCCACUUUUCCAUAGAGAUGAGACAUAAGCCUGGACUAACUGGUGUCCAAUUUGCCAUCAAGAGAGCAUCUGAGAAGACAGAGGAAAACUGGGGAAAGCGAAGUCUAAGGAAGGUGAGUAAGGACAAGUCCAGUUGAUAUUACAUGAAUCACCUGGACCUGGAAAUCAAGGCAUUGCUGGAUUCAAGGCCAAGAAAAAUUGGAAGCUGGCUUGAAUCAGGUUCUAUCACUUGCAGUUGAAAAGGUCCAGACUAAUAUGAUAACAAAGGAGCAAGUAAGCAAGAUUCUGCCCUACAGUAAGUGCUCAAUGCAUGUCAGCUGGUAUUAUUAUUAUACAGACUUCUAUUUCUAGCCCUUUUAUUUCUACCACCUCUCUUCUGUGUUUUAUGUAAAGUGCAUAAGGAUUGUUCUGUUUGGAAACAUCAAACCAUAUAAAAUGACACCAGCAGGUCCCUUUCUGUCUGUCAGUGUCCACAAGCUCAACAACCAGGAUCAGCAGACAAAAACAGCUAAGCUGGAGUCAGUGUUUUUAUGAAGAAACAGGAAAAGAACUUACUUGGGAACUGUAGCUCAUCCUCCAAUAUUCUCCAUCCUAUCACUCUUUUCAUGACAGUUUCUUCUUGGCCCUGAAGUUGCCUUGUCAUGGCUCCCUGCCUCUGUCCUUUCUCUGUCUCACUUACAUCUUCCAAUGAGGAAUACAGCAAGACCUUUGGAUGAGGACCUCCAAAGGUCCUCAGUAUCCUUAGGACACUCGGUGCAGAACUAGAGGGACUGAGAGGAGGAGCUUUUGCAGGUUAAAUGACUAGUGAAUGGCCUUUCCUUAUAUUUCCAUUAGAAAUGGGAUUAGCUACACCUGAGAAGGAAUGACUUUGGAACAACUGAUCCCUAGCUUUCCAAAAUAUGAGAAAUUGAGAUGCAGGGAGUAGUAAGCACCUAGUUAAUGAGUCAAAGCAUAUUUAUAAAGUUCACAGGGUACAUAGCAUAUAGCAGCUGUUCUCUAUCUCAGUUGAGUUUUGACUAGGAAAUGGGCUUAGGAUAAAACACAUAGGCUUUUGAGUAAUCAUUUGUAAGAAAUUGUAGAUAGUGACCACAGUUUAAUAGCAUUAGAUAAAUUAUGAAAAGUCACUGAAAUACCUUCUCUGGAAAAUGUUAGAAGCUCAAGUACAAUGGCUUAGUUAAAGGCAGGUGGGGGAGAAACUUGAAGAAUGUGGUCCAGUACAAGAAUACCCCAUUUUUCCCCUAAGGCAAUGAAAAUGACAUGAAGUAAUCAUAGUUAUUUAUACAGGAACAAUUUAGGAGACUUAGAAUAUUCACUUCUUUUGCCUUCUAGCUGAGCAUCAAAAUUCUCUCUCUGUCUCUGCCUCUCUCUCUCUAUUUUCCACUUCUAGCUCCAACUAUUUUAAAUCCCUCCCCCAAUAGAACUCAUAACAAACAUAAAACAACAUUUGUUGUAUGUUUACAAUAGAUGUUCAAGCUAAUAUUUAUGUAGGCUUAGCCCUGGCAUUAAAUUAAGGUUUGGUUCACCAACAGGGUGCCUAGAGACUUCACCUCUAUUUCCAUGAGGGACUGAACAGCCUCUUGAGAAGGGACUCAUCAAAAUGGAAGAGUUGGCAAUAAGAAGUUUGGCUAAAUAACCAAGCACUGAAGUUGCAGAGGAGAAAGGAUUUGAAAGGCAGUACAGUGUCCAGGGGCAAGUUGGCAAUUUUUAGCAGGAGGUGAAGUGAUGCCAGCAGAGGUAACAGUGCUCAGAGGGACCAGUAGUCCCCAGGAGGAGCAGGGGAAUCCCCAGUGGAUCUGAUUUGUUCAAGAGCACAUGUGAGAUUAUCAGCUGGCGUUACAAUUUUGGAGUGGCAGUGAGAAGCAGUGAAUUUGAGGUCACUCAAUUUGCAGACCCCAAAGGGUGAAAUGUUGAGAAACAUGAGUUACACAUGUAUUUAACAGCUCUUGUGUAUUAUCACAAAUCCUAUUUCACCUCUCAUGCCCCCGAGGCUUUGGUGUCCAGUUCUCUGAAGACUUCAUCAAUCCUCAGCCAUAAAUCACCUGAGAGCAACUCACCUUGCUUCAUACUAUGAAGCUCCCUGAUGUCACAGCAUGGCAGGCCUGUGGCAACCCCUCAACACUUAUGCAUGAUCCCAAACAGCUAGAGGAUUAACACCUACGGUGUAACCCUUGACCAGCAGGAAAUGGAAAUUACUGUCUUUUUGUCCCCGCAGGUGAAUGGUUCUAAAAUGCAUUUUAUAAGCCUUCUGAAAUAGUCCCACAGGUCAAGCACCUACUUGCUCCAGUGGUGACCAACUCAAUGAUGCAUCCUUGGGUUGACUCUCCCUCCUUUCCAGUUCACUUUCCCCGCCCCUCACUCCUGCACCUCAGCAUCACAUUCCUGAAUAAACCACUCACACAUCUGUCUUAUUUCAGACUCUGUUUGGGGGAAUCCACAAUAAAAAUUUGUCAUUUUGAGUUAAACAUUGCUCUCACCUUGAAGACAUAUUUCCAUACCUAGAGAUUUCUGAAGUUCUCUCCCUUUUCCUAUCAUCUCCUUUGUGCUUUGUCUGACCUCCAUGUUACAGAGCCCCAUGAUAUUUAGAGCCAGUACUGCUAGGGAAGUAGUUCAGUUGUGUUUUAAAUGGUUCAGCAACUUGUAACAUCAACUGAGAACCAGAGGAAUACACUUGGAGGCCAAGAAAAAAAUGUUAGCUAAUAUGUACCAUACAGUAUGAUUCCUUGGGUAAGGGAAAGUAUAUGCAAGUGACAGAGGAAAAUUGAAAGUUGUAGCCCUUUUUUGGACUUUAGAUUUGGAAUUAAAGUUUCUCUUCUCUUGAAAGACCUUCUUUUUGUGGAUAAUGAUGAAUCUGAAGACCAGAACAGUGGGCCAAUUUGCCUUAGUUGAGAGUGGCAAAUAAAUGAAGAACUGAAGAACGUAUCUCUUUAACUAGUGCUCCUUUGUUGAGAAGAUACAAAACAAACAAUUGAAGGGUAUGGAUGAAGCCAUUGGCUUAUUCAUGUCUCUGUUGAUCAUAAUGAGAUUAAUAUAUAUAGGACAUUCACACAAAGAGGAUAUUGACUCGAUGGCUUACAGAUUAUUAGAGUUAGAAAUGUGACCUACUACUAAAGGAAGAAUGUUUCAGGUGUGGAUCUCUGAUUUAAAAAAUACACCACACUUGCCUCAGUGAAGCAAGUCAACUUAGGUGCUGAUACAAUGCCACUGCAGCUGUGCUGAGUUCAUGAAAUCAGAUCCCACUCUCUUCACCUACCCCUACCGUAUUCAUCCUACUUUCCGUCUGCUCUGCCCUUCCCAUUUGGUAACCUAGUCAUGAAACACCUGGCUCUGGGUCCUUCCUUCAGCAUCACUCCACGUUGUACUGCUGGCAUCGCUUUUCUUGGCACAGAACCUCUUAGGGCUGCUAUCCUAGGAGUAGGUGCUACUCAGGCUGGCUUAGUCCCAGGCUUCACUCACUUCUUGGCCCAUGGCCAGGAGGACCGGAAAGAACAAACUCUCUGCACAUCUCUGCAGGUGGCCACAGAGCCCCCAUCUGAGCCUUGCUGAUGGAGAAGAGCAUGCUGCAUCACAAGAUAACUGUGUGGCUCUGUUCAAAAACCUUGUUUAGAAGUUAUUAUUUCUUUUAUUGCAUUAGAAUUUGCCUCACUGUAGCUUUUGUGCUUCUGUCCUGGUUCAGCCUUAGAUAGCAGUGCAGCCUGGUCCAUGUGAAAGCUCUUGCAAUAGGCCUUUCUGCUAGUCAGGAGUUCUCAGACCCAUCCCUACUCUUCACUUUUCUCAAGACUAAUAUCAGACUCCUGGGCUCUUCAAGGUUUCCUCAUAUGAUAAAAGUUCUAAGCCCUCCAUUGUCCUAGUCACUGUCCUCUCUGUUCCAUCCCUGUCUGCCCUUCCAAGAUGCUGCACCUGGAGAUGAAUUUGUCCUUCCUGGGGCAAGUCACCAUGAGAUGAUUACUUUUGGAUCAUACUGAAUUUGUGGGUUAAAUAAACUCAUAGGUCUUUAUCUCAUGCACUAAAUCCAAAUUCGAUCUCUUGCCGUAAAUCAUUUUUUUGAAUAGCUGAACAAUAAGUAAAUAAUACACAAAUGAAAACUAAUCAAUAUUUGAACAUCCUCAGUAUUUUCAGCCCUAGUUUGAGCCAGACAUAGCUCAUCUUGUAUACUUCACUAAGGACACUUUAUACGAUCAAGCAAUUAAUAUUAUGAUGUCAUGUCUCGCAAGCCCCAUAGUGUCACUUCCAGUCUCUUCACCACAAAGAACGUUGAAGCCUUCGUAUUUUUUUGAAAAUCAUAUUUCUAGCUGCAGGAUGGGAUGUAAGAAAAGUUCAGAUUAGGAUUAUUCUAGGCUCCUGACUAUAACUAAAAUCCUGAUUUUUUAUGGAAAGGAAUGAGGAUCAUUCCUUCAAAUUAGAUUUUUGUGAUAAAAAGAAAAAAGUUGGUAAUCUAUUCAAAAUUGUAACAAAAAUAACUGCAUUUUUCUUUGGAAAAUAAUAGUUGAUUCCUUUUUGCUUUUUUUACUUAUGAAUUGGGGUGCAAUAGAGUUUAAUAAAAAUGAUGUGAAACACUCUUAUAAGGCUAAUUUAUCACAUUUGCUUCAAGGAAUUGUCCUUUCUAACAAAAUUGUGAAAUGGAACUGAACAGUAGCAUGAUGAGGCCUCUACCAGGAGGAGGUACAGAACAAGGCAGGAGGUCAGUGGUUAAAGGACUCCUUGCUUAUGCUCAAGAAAUGUGGACCUUAUUAGAGGUGACACAGUGAAAUCAGUCACCUGAUUUCGCAGGUGACUGUGGAGCAAGAAUGCAAAUCCACAAUAUUAGGAUGAAUGUGAGAGGAGAAGGGAAGGAGGCCAUGAGGGAAAAAAGGACAUCUAAUUGGGUCUGAAAGGAAGGGUAGAAUUUAAGUAAAGAGCACUGUGUACAUAUGGGAAUACCAUGUACUUUCUCAUGGAGAGAGGCCUUCUGACAGUCCUGCAUUGAUCCUGCUUCUUUGACCAUCCCUUGUUAGCCAGCAGGUCAUUUGGCCUCACUAGUUGCCUCAGUGCUGAGUGAUAGACUCAGCAGUCCCCAGCCUCUUUGGCACCAGGGACUGGUUUUGUGGAAGAUAAUUUUUCCAUGGAUCAGGGAGAGGAUGGUUUCAGGAGGAUUUAAGUGCAUUACAUUUACUGCGCACUUUAUUUCUAAUAUUAUUACAUUGUAAUCUAUAAUGAAAUAAUUAUACAAUUCACCAUAAUGUAGAAUCAGUGGGUGCCCUGAGCUUGUUUUCCUGCAACUAGAUGGUCCCAUCUGGGGGUGAUGGGAGACAGUGACAGAUCAUCAGGCAUUAGAUUCUCAUAAGGAAUGCACAACCUAGAUUCUUCACAUGUGCAGUUCACCAUGAGGUUCACGCUCCUAUGAGAAGCUAAUGCCUCCGCUUAAACGACACAGGAGAUGGAGCUCAGGUAGUAAUGAGUGAAAUGGGGAGCAGCUGUCAAUACAGAUGAAGCUUUGCUUGCUUGCUUGCCGCUCACCACCUGCUGUGCAGCCUGGUUCCUAACUGGUACUGGUCAGUGGCCUGUGGUUGGGAACUCCUGGUAGACUAACAACAGAACAAAGCCAAGUCUCAAGGAGAGACAGUUGUAUAGAUGCCUUCCUGCCCAUUCUCUGUUGUGGGGGCCAAAUCACACAAGACCUG
rnacentral:lncRNA from 10 species